GCCUGACCCGGGGUCACCAGUGGGAUCAGGAUGUCUUCAAAGGCCCUUCCUCGUGCUGCCCCCUCUGAUGGAGUGGAUCCGAGUGGCCGUGGCGCACGCUGGCCACCGCCGCAGCUUUUCUAUGGACAGCGACGAUGUCCGCCAAGCCGCCAGGCUUCUGUUGCCUGGAGUGGACUGCGAGCCGCGCCAGCUCAAGGCGGACGACUGCUUUUGCGCUUCUCGGAAGCUGGACGCAGUGGCCAUCGAAGCCAAGUUCAAGCAGGACUUGGGCUUCCGGAUGCUGAACUGUGGACGGACCGACCUGGUGAAGCAGGCAGUGUCUUUGCUGGGGCCG
rnacentral:lncRNA from 1 species